rfam:Picea glauca, whole genome shotgun sequence.
CCUAUAGUAUAACAUUAAUGCAACAGAUCCCAUUAGAAAUCUAUAGUUAAGCGCACUCGAGUUAGAGUAGUACUGGGAUGGGUGACCACCUAAGAAGUCUUAGUAUUUUAUAUGC